rnacentral:rRNA from 1 species
UGGGGAAUAUUGGACAAUGGGCGGAAGCCUGAUCCAGCAACGCCGCGUGAGGGAUGACGGCCUUCGGGUUGUAAACCUCUUUCAGUACCGACGAAGCGAAAGUGACGGUAGGUACAGAAGAAGGACCGGCCAACUACGUGCCAGCAGCCGCGGUAAUACGUAGGGUCCGAGCGUUGUCCGGAAUUAUUGGGCGUAAAGGGCUCGUAGGCGGUUUGUCGCGUCGGGAGUGAAAACAGCGGGCUUAACUCGUUGCUUGCUUUCGAUACGGGCAGACUAGAGGUAUGCAGGGGAGAAUGGAAUUCCUGGUGUAGCGGUGAAAUGCGCAGAUAUCAGGAGGAACACCGGUGGCGAAGGCGGUUCUCUGGGCAUUACCUGACGCUGAGGAGCGAAAGUGUGGGGAGCGAACAGGAUUAGAUACCCUGGUAGUCCACACCGUAAACGUUGGGNGCUAGGUNUGGGGUCCUUUCCACGGAUUCCGUGCCGCAGCAAACGCAUUAAGUGCCCCGCCUGGGGAGUACGGCCGCAAGGCUAAAACUCAAAGGAAUUGACGGGGUCAUAGCUGUUUCCUG